rnacentral:tRNA from 1 species
UGGGAUAUCGCCAAGCGGUAAGGCAAGGGUCUUUGAUUCCCUCAUCUCGCUGGUUCGAAUCCAGCUAUCCCAACCA